rnacentral:rRNA from 1 species
UACGGAGGGGGCUAGCGUUGUUCGGAAUUACUGGGCGUAAAGCGUACGUAGGCGGCUUUGUAAGUUAGAGGUGAAAGCCCGGGGCUCAACUCCGGAAUUGCCUUUAAGACUGCAUCGCUUGAAUCAUGGAGAGGUUAGUGGAAUUCCGAGUGUAGAGGUGAAAUUCGUAGAUAUUCGGAAGAACACCAGUGGCGAAGGCGACUUACUGGACACAUAUUGACGCUGAGGUGCGAAAGCGUGGGGAGCAAACAGG